AUAAAUUCAAAAAGGAAAAUUGCAGUGAAAUGAAACCAUUUGCCAGCUCUGACAUCUAAUAAGAGCAUAAUCGCCCGUUCCUUUUUUUAGUGAGCUGCUGCUUUGUAACUCCCCCUGAAGGAAGUUGCAGGUGUCUCGGUUUGCAAAGGCUGGCUCUGAGGGACGGAAAGCAAUUUUGCAGCCGCCUGAGUUUCUCCUGCCAAAUGUUGGUUUUAAUGAAGAAGGUGGACGUGUGCGUUUGAAACGAUGGCGUGGCGUAGCAAACUGCCAAGACAGGUUGUGGAUGGCGCUCUUCCCGUCAGUGUGUUGCAAGGUGGCUUAGAUCCGGAUUAAAUCACGUGUUGGAAAGCUGGCACCUCCGCUGACCCCCCACCUCGUAGGGAGUUGGCUCUGUCUUGCACAGAGACCCCUUGCAAUUGGUCCUGUGUGUUUCUGGUUUGCUUCUCCCCUGCUCCCCAAAACGCGGCUCACGGAGAAGGCUGCUGAAGGUUGCAAAGCACCUUCCUAUCAUUGCUAUUUAUUUUUUGCAAAGCUCCGGUCUUCCUUUCCCUGCCCCCGGGUCUGUGCCACGGAACUGCCAAGUCCACGUUUCAGAGAAAAGCAGCCUUCGUCGAUUUCGAUCGGGCCGGCACGCCUUCCCGUCCCAGCCUUCAGAGCGACGUGGAAACGAGCAAGGGCCAGCUUGGAUCGCACCUUUUCCGCCUGCUCCCGGGCGGUUUCUGAAAAGGAUCGACGGGCCGGAGUUGAAGACAUCACAGCCUGCGUGCCAGCGUUUUGUGCCAGCCUCCUUCGCCGAGUUGUGGGAAUGCCUGUUAAUUUGUUAGGAAAGGAAAACAAGCUAGAUGGCUUUGCUGGCCCAGGCGAGCUGCGUGGCUGUUAAGUCCAAGCCUGUAGGGAGGAAUGGAAAUUCCCCAGGAGUCUCACAAGCCCUGAUGGACAUCUGACAACUUGCAGCCAGCGAGCUGGAAGAGCAUGGUUAAACACCAGCCACUCCAGUAUUAUGAGCCCCAGUUGUGUUUGUCAUGCCUGACGGGAAUUUACGGCUGCCGAUGGAAGCGGUACCAGCGGUCACAUGAUGACACCACCAAGGUGAGAACUCCUCU